rnacentral:rRNA from 1 species
UGGGGAAUAUUGCACAAUGGGGGAAACCCUGAUGCAGCGACGCCGCGUGAGUGAAGAAGUAUUUCGGUAUGUAAAGCUCUAUCAGCAGGGAAGAGAAUGACGGUACCUGACUAAGAAGCCCCGGCUAACUACGUGCCAGCAGCCGCGGUAAUACGUAGGGGGCAAGCGUUAUCCGGAUUUACUGGGUGUAAAGGGAGCGUAGACGGCAUAGCAAGUCUGAAGUGAAAUACCCGGGCUCAACCCGGGAGCUGCUUUGGAAACUGUUAGGCUGGAGUGCUGGAGAGGCAAGCGGAAUUCCUAGUGUAGCGGUGAAAUGCGUAGAUAUUAGGAGGAACACCAGUGGCGAAGGCGGCUUGCUGGACAGUAACUGACGUUGAGGCUCGAAAGCGUGGGGAGCAAACA